rnacentral:snRNA from 1 species
AUCUUUGCGCUUGGGGCAAUGACGUAGCUAAUGAGGUAAUAACUGAGGCGCGUCUAUUGCUGGUUGAAAACUAUUUCCAAACCCCCUCUGGGCCUGAGCUUGCCUUGGGCCUUUGAGAAUUUCUGGAAGGGCUCCCUUUUUGGGUAAAGCCCUACAAUAUAGUUUAAAGUUGAUAUAAUUUCCUUGCUAUUAGUGCGCCCGCAUUCUAAUAUUUAUUGAGUUGUCUAACGUGCAUCAAUCAGUAAAAUUAGAAGUUAGUCAAAAGUUAAGGGUAUGCUUAGGUGAGUAAUUGCUGUGAAACUCAUUUAGUCUCACAUCACAGUUACAUAAUAGCAAACCUUUUGGUUAUACUGAUUUCAUUGGAGCUUCAUUAGUGUUGGAAGCAAAAUUUAAGGCUAUUCUCCGGGGCAUUGUUAUCUAGUAAUUAUACAAGGUGGGGACUGAGUCAUAUUCCCUUAUUGCAACUCGAUUAGUUCCGUUGCAGUGCGUUUCCUCUCAUCAUAAUUUAUUUAAU